CGGGACGGGUGGGUAAUGUCUGGGAAACGUCUCGAUGGAGGGGGAUAACUACUGGAAACGGUAGCUAAUACCGCAUAACGUCGCAAGACCAAAGAGGGGGACCUUCGGGCCUCUUGCCAUCGGAUGUGCCCAGAUGGGAUUAGCUAGUAGGUGGGGUAACGGCUCACCUAGGCGACGAUCCCUAGCUGGUCUGAGAGGAUGACCAGCCACACUGGAACUGAGACACGGUCCAG
rnacentral:rRNA from 1 species